rnacentral:rRNA from 1 species
AUUGAACGCUGGCGGCAGGCUUAACACAUGCAAGUCGAGCGAGCGGCGGACGGGUGAGUAAUGUCUGGGAAACUGCCUGAUGGAGGGGGAUAACUACUGGAAACGGUCGCUAAUACCGCAUACCAUCGGAUGUUCCCAGAUGGGAUUAGCUAGUAGGUGGGGUAAUGGCUCACCUAGGCGACGAUCCCUAGCUGGUCUGAGAGGAUGACCAGCCACACUGGAACUGAGACACGGUCCAGACUCCGACGGGAGGCAGCAGUGGGGAAUAGUGCACAAUGGGCGCAAGCCUGAUACAGCCAUGCCGCGUGUAUGAAGAAGGCCUUCGGGUUGUAAAGCACUUUCAGCGAGGAGGCGUUACUCGCAGAAGAAGCACCGGCUAACUCCGUGCCAGCAGCCGCGGUAAUAC